AUCCAAGUGGUAAUCUUGAGCUGAAUAUUCUAAGAAACGAGAGCUCACAAAGAGCAUGGCAAGAAGUCCAGAAGGAGAGACAGACAUGAAGUGGGGAAGAGCAAAGACAAAUUGGAACACAAGAGGACAAGCUGGAACCUGCUUCGGUCCCUUACUACCUGUAAGCUUCUAACUUCAGUGAUGCAAAUGACCUGCAGGAGAAACUAGUAUCCUUCAUUAUGAAGCUAAAUGUACACCUGACCUGGGAGUCGGAGCCGCUGUGGACCUGGCUGCUGCCUCUGCCUCCAAAGUGAGCCAACAAAUCAGUGACAACAUGUGUGAGCUGCAGCAGUACCUGGUGCCCUACACUGACCCUUCAAGUGUAAAAAGAAGAUGAAAAUGGCGACGGGAUUUUCAUAUUCAUAAACGUGCCCCAAGUGCCCAACACAUGGUACGUAUUCAACAAAUACCUGCUGAACUGAGGAUAACCUUUUAGCUUAGAAGUAAAAAAAACCAACCAAACAAAAACAAUUUCAAG
rnacentral:lncRNA from 1 species